rnacentral:rRNA from 1 species
UACGGAGGAUGCAAGCGUUAUCCGGAAUUACUGGGCGUAAAGCGCGUGUAGGUGGUGGGACAAGUCUGCUGUGAAAGCGCCUGGCUUAACCGGGCGAGGUCGGCGGAAACUGUCCGACUCGAGGACGGUAGAGGGGGGUGGAAUUCCCGGUGUAGUGGUGAAAUGCGUAGAGAUCGGGAAGAACAUCGGUGGCGAAAGCGCUCUACUGGACCGCAACUGACACUCAGGGACGAAAGCUAGGGGAGCGAAUGGG